rnacentral:rRNA from 1 species
AGAACGAACGCUGGCGGCAGGCUUAACACAUGCAAGUCGAACGCGUGUAGCAAUACACGAGUGGCGCACGGGUGAGUAACGCGUGGAUAUCUGCCUUUUGGUUCGGAAUAACCCCGGGAAACUGGGGCUAAUACCGGAUGGUUCCUACGGGAUAAAGAUUUAUCGCCAAAAGAUGAGUCCGCGUACGAUUAGCUAGUUGGUGAGGUAAUGGCUCACCAAGGCGACGAUCGUUAGCUGGUCUGAGAGGACGACCAGCCACACUGGGACUGAGACAUGGCCCAGACACCUACGGGUGGCAGCAGUCGAGAAUUUUUCUCAAUGGGGGAAACCCUGAAGGAGCGACGCCGCGUGGAGGAUGAAGGUCUUCGGGUUGUAAACUCCUGUCAUUUGGGAACAAUGCGCAAAUAUUAACUGUAUUUGCGUUGAUAGUACCAGAAGAGGAAGGACGGCUAACUCUGUGCCAGCAGCCGCGGUAA